rnacentral:piRNA from 1 species
UGUGAGAUGACUGGUAGCUUUAGGAC